rnacentral:rRNA from 1 species
GAUGAACGCUGGCGGCGUGCUUAACACAUGCAAGUCGAACGGGAAACCUUUUAUUGAAGCUUCGGCAGAUUUAGCUGGUUUCUAGUGGCGGACGGGUGAGUAACGCGUGGGUAACCUGCCCUAUACAGGGGGAUAACAACCAGAAAUGGUUGCUAAUACCGCAUAAGCGCACAGGGCCGCAUGGUCCGGUGUGAAAAACUCCGGUGGUAUAGGAUGGACCCGCGUUGGAUUAGCCGGUUGGCAGGGUAACGGCCUACCAAAGCGACGAUCCAUAGCCGGCCUGAGAGGGUGAACGGCCACAUUGGGACUGAGACACGGCCCAGACUCCUACGGGAGGCAGCAGUGGGGAAUAUUGCACAAUGGGGGAAAACCUGAUGCAGCGACGCCGCGUGAAGGAAGAAGUAUCUCGGUAUGUAAACUUCUAUCAGCAGGGAAGAUAGUGACGGUACCUGACGAAGAAGCCCCGGCUAACUACGUG